rnacentral:tRNA from 1 species
CCCCACGUAGCUCAACCUGGUGGAGCGCUCGGCUGUAGCCCGGGAGGUCGCUGGUUCAAAUCCGGCCGUGGGGA